rnacentral:rRNA from 1 species
GACGAACGCUGGCGGCGUGCUUAACACAUGCAAGUCGAACGGAAAGGCCCUGCUUUUGUGGGGUGCUCGAGUGGCGAACGGGUGAGUAACACGUGAGUAACCUGCCCUUGACUUUGGGAUAACUUCAGGAAACUGGGGCUAAUACCGGAUAGGAGCUCCUGCUGCAUGGUGGGGGUUGGAAAGUUUCGGCGGUUGGGGAUGGACUCGCGGCUUAUCAGCUUGUUGGUGGGGUAGUGGCUUACCAAGGUUUUGACGGGUAGCCGGCCUGAGAGGGUGAACGGCCACAUUGGGACUGAGAUACGGCCCAGACGCCUACGGGAGGCAGCAGUGGGGAAUAUUGCACAAUGGGCGGAAGCCUGAUGCAGCGACGCCGCGUGCGGGAUGACGGCCUUCGGGUUGUAAACCGCUUUCGCCUGUGACGAAGCGUGAGUGACGGUAAUGGGUAAAGAAGCACCGGCUAACUACGUG